UGGCCGUCGUCAGCUCGUGUCGUGAGAUGUUGGGUUAAGUCCCGCAACGAGCGCAACCCUUAUCCCUAGUUGCCAUCAGGUAAAGCUGGGGAACUCUGGGGAGACUGCCGGUGAUAAACCGGAGGAAGGCGGGGAUGACGUCAAGUCCUCAUGGCCCUUACAUCCCGGGCUACACACGUGCUACAAUGGCAGGUACAGAGGGCUGCGAAGCCGCGAGGUGGAGCGAAUCCCAGAAAACCUGUCUCAGUCCGGAUUGAAGUCUGCAACUCGACUUCAUGAAGGCGGAAUCGCUAGUAACCGCGAAUCAGCAGGUCGCGGUGAAUACGUUCCCGGGCCUU
rnacentral:rRNA from 1 species